AGAGCAAGUGGUGGAUGCCUUGGCUAGUAGAGGCGAUGAAAGACGUGCCAGGCUGCGAUAAGUCUCGGGGAGCCGUCAAGGGGCUUUGAUCCGGGAAUUUCUGAAUGGGGCAACCCAACUAAUAGAGAUAUUAGUUACCGUAUAACGGAGCGAACGAGGGGAAUUGAAACAUCUUAGUACCCUCAGGAAAAGAAAUCAAAAGAGAUUACGCUAGUAGCGGCGAGCGAACGCGUAAGAGGGCAAACCACUAGUUUACUAGUGGGGUUGUAGGACUGCAAUAUAGACUAAACUUAGCUAAUAGAACGACCUGGAAAGGUUAGGCACAGAGGGUGAUACCCCCGUAUAUGAAAGCUUUGUUUUACUUAGCAGUAUCCUGAGUAGGGCGGAACACGUGAUAUUCUGUCUGAAGCUGGGUAGACCACUAUCCAACCCUAAAUACUACUACUAGACCGAUAGUGCACAAGUACCGUGAGGGAAAGGUGAAAAGAACUGAGGUGAUCAGAGUGAAAUAGAACCUGAAACCAUUUGCUUACAAUCAUUCAGAGCCCUAUGAUUUAUCAGGGUGAUGGACUGCCUUUUGCAUAAUGAGCCUGCGAGUUGUGAUGUCUGGCGAGGUUAAGGAAACCCGGAGCCGUAGCGAAAGCGAGUCUUAAUAGGGCGUUUAGUCAGACGUUGCAGACCCGAAACGAUGUGAUCUAUCCAUGAGCAGGUUGAAACCGGUGUAAGAGCCGGUGGAGGACCGAACCCGCUAGCGUUGAAAAGCUAUGGGAUGACUUGUGGAUAGGGGUGAAAGGCCAAUCAAACAUCGUGAUAGCUGGUUCUCUCCGAAAUAUAUUUAGGUAUAGCGUCAUGUAGUAACACUGGGGGGUAGAGCACUGAAUGGGCUAGGGCAUACACCAAUGUACCAAACCCUAUCAAACUCCGAAUACCUAGUGUGUAAUCAUGGCAGUCAGGCGGCGAGUGAUAAAAUCCGUCGUCGAGAGGGGAACAACCCAGACUAACAGCUAAGGUCCCUAAAUCUCAUUUAAGUGGAAAACGAUGUGGAGUUACUUAAACAACCAGGAGGUUGGCUUAGAAGCAGCCAUCCUUUAAAGAAAGCGUAAUAGCUCACUGGUCUAGUGAUUCUGCGCGGAAAAUAUAACGGGGCUAAAAUGAGUACCGAAGCUUUAGACUUGCACUUAACUUAGACUAAAUAUUGUCUAGUUAUAUUUUUACUAAUUUUUAAAGAGUCUAAUUCUUUAAAGAGUAGAAGUAAAAUUAGUAAAAUAUCUUAGGCUAAAAGUAGUUUAAGUUAAGUGCAAGUGGUAGGAGAGCGUUGUAUUUGCGUUGAAGGUAUACCGGUAAGGAGUGCUGGAGCGAAUACAAGUGAGCAUGCAGGCAUGAGUAGCGAUAAUUGGGGUGAGAAUCCCCAACGCCGUAAACCCAAGGUUUCCUACGCGAUGCUCGUCAUCGUAGGGUUAGCCGGGUCCUAAGCAAAGUCCGAAAGGGGUAUGCGAUGGAAAAUUGGUUAAUAUUCCAAUGCCAACUAUAAUGUGCGAUGGAAGGACGCUUAGAGUUAGAGAGGCUAGCGGAUGGUAGUGCUAGUCGAAAGGUGUAGGUUAAGAUCCAGGCAAAUCCGGAUCUUUUUAAGCCGAGACCCCAUAGGCGUUUGAAGUUCUUCGGAAUGGAUAGCGAACUCUCGAUACUGUCGAGCCAAGAAAAGUUUCUAAGUUUAGUUAUAGUUGCCCGUACCGUAAACCGACACAGGUGGGUGGGAUGAAUAUUCUAAGGCGCGUGGAAGAACUCUCUCUAAGGAACUCUGCAAAAUAGCACCGUAUCUUCGGUAUAAGGUGUGCCUACCAAUGUGUAAGGAUUUACUCCUGAGGCAUUGAAGGUUACAACAAAGAGUCCCUCCCGACUGUUUACCAAAAACACAGCACUCUGCUAACUCGUAAGAGGAUGUAUAGGGUGUGACGCCUGCCCGGUGCUCGAAGGUUAAUUGAUGACGUUAGCUAUGCGAAGCGUUUGAUCGAAGCCCGAGUAAACGGCGGCCGUAACUAUAACGGUCCUAAGGUAGCGAAAUUCCUUGUCGAUUAAAUAUCGACCUGCAUGAAUGGCGUAACGAGAUGGGAGCUGUCUCAGAGAGGGAUCCAGUGAAAUUGUAGUGGAGGUGAAAAUUCCUCCUACCCGCGGCAAGACGGAAAGACCCCGUGGACCUUUACUACAGCUUGACACUGCUAUUGGGAUAAAAAUGUGCAGGAUAGGUGGGAGGCUUUGAUCCAUAGACGCCAGUUUAUGGUGAGCCGUUGUUGAGAUACCACUCUUUUUUAUUCUGAUAGCUAACUAGCUUGAGUUAUCCUCAAGUAGGACAAUGUCUGGUGGGUAGUUUGACUGGGGCGGUCGCCUCCCAAAAUGUAACGGAGGCUUACAAAGGUUGGCUCAGAACGGUUGGAAAUCGUUCGUAGAGUAUAAAGGCAAAAGCCAGCUUAACUGCGAGACAUACACGUCAAGCAGAGACGAAAGUCGGUCUUAGUGAUCCGGUGGUUCUGUGUGGAAGGGCCAUCGCUCAAAGGAUAAAAGGUACCCCGGGGAUAACAGGCUGAUCUCCCCCAAGAGCUCACAUCGACGGGGAGGUUUGGCACCUCGAUGUCGGCUCAUCGCAUCCUGGGGCUGAAGUCGGUCCCAAGGGUUGGGCUGUUCGCCCAUUAAAGCGGUACGCGAGCUGGGUUCAGAACGUCGUGAGACAGUUCGGUCCCUAUCUGCCGUGGGCGCAAGAAGAUUGAGGAGAGUUGACCCUAGUACGAGAGGACCGGGUCGAACCAACCACUGGUGUACGAGUUGUCCUGCCAAGGGCACCGCUCGGUAGCUAUGUUGGGAUGUGAUAACUGCUGAAAGCAUCUAAGCAGGAAGCCAACUCCAAGAUGAAUCUUCUUUUAAGAGCUCAUAUAGACUAUGUGUUUGAUAGGCUGGGUGUGUAAUGGAUGAAAGUCCUUUAGCUGACCAGUACUAAUAGCUCGUCUGCUUAUCUU
rnacentral:rRNA from 1 species